rnacentral:pre_miRNA from 1 species
AGUAAGAUAGUUGGGUUAUAUGGUAGUCCCCUUCUUACUUUUCUGAGGAAUCUUCAUACUCUUUUCCAGAGUGGUUUCACUAACUUUUGGUCCCACCAACAAU